AUCAGAGACUUUAUUUUGUGCUGCAAAUCCGAACGAUUCUUAGGGAUUUUGAGUUAUCGAAAUUUUUCAAAUAAUUCAUCAUCUUGAAUUGAACAUAAUAUCGCCAAUUUAUCGAUUUAUGAUGUUAAAAAUUGAAGAUAUAUCGACUGGCUUCAUCACUCGCUAAACUUGAACGUCGUUUCCGUGUUCGUUGCUCAUUCCAACGUUCAAAUAACAUCACGGAAUGAUUGUCCCUUAUUGUCAGACGCAACUCCUGUCGCAAGGAAACUUCAUUGCAAUUCGGUAUUCGGUCGUCAGAGCAUCACGUACGUAGAUCCUCUUCUUCCGAAGCAACGGCAGUAUAGCCGUAGCAGCCGAAGCGUCGUCACACGUUGUCAGGUGCGACAUCGAUGGUAGCGCGUAUAUCCUUGAAAAAGCAAAAAAAAAAAGCAUCGAGGUGGGAGAAUGGGAAAUAAAUACAUUGCGGUGAAUUUUAGUACGCAGUUAGUGCUGAGCCAUAGUUCAUCAGUUGUCGAAGUUUUUCCGGUCGCGAUCUGGAAAUACCCAAAUUCAUAUUUUUCGCCUUGGAAUUUGGAUACAACGGCAGUUCAGCUUCAGCGACAGAAGCGGCGACAUCAGGAGCGACAUCAGUAGCAACGCAGUUUCCUCAGAGCGACGAUGGCGAGAGGAAACGGUCGCAGUUCCUCCAACAUCAUUGACCGGACUCCCCCUGUUCAUCAGGGGGAGUCCACCGUCCCCUGGGACUGCGCGGCCUCCCACCGCCCCCGGGGUCCCAGGGGACCCGGUCCCCGAGGACAUGUCUUCGGGGAUGCGGUAUCC